rnacentral:sRNA from 1 species
CUACAAGGAGAUCCGGAAAGGCGAGAGUCGGUCGGAGGCUCUGGCUGUGGAUGGAGCUGGGAAGCCUGGGGCUGAGGAGGCUCAGGACCCCGAAGGGAAGGGAGAACAGGAGCACUCCCAGCAGAAAGAGGAGGAGGAGGAGAUGGCAGUGGUCCCGCAAGGCCUCUUCCGGGGUGGGAAGAGCGGAGAGCUGGAGCAGGAGCAGGAGGAGGAGCGGCUCUCCAAGGAGUGGGAGGACUCCAAACGCUGGAGCAAGAUGGACCAGCUGGCCAAGGAGCUGACGGCUGAGAAGCGGCUGGAGGGGCAGGAGGAGGAGGAGGACAACCGGGACAGUUCCAUGAAGCUCUCCUUCCGGGCCCGGGCCUACGGCUUUAGGGGCCCUGGGCCGCAGCUGCGACGAGGCUGGAGGCCAUCCUCCCGGGAGGACAGCCUUGAGGCGGGCCUGCCCCUCCAGGUCCGAGGCUACCCCGAGGAGAAGAAAGAGGAGGAGGGCAGCGCAAACCGCAGACCAGAGGUUGGUAUGGGGCGGGAGCCAGCUCUGUGCCAGGCCGCGGAGCAGCAGGGGGCAGCCGCACCCAGACACACUGCCCCUGCCCCACUGAGGGGACAGGGCCCCCCACCGCCGGAGUCUGGGGAUGGAGAGAUGCUCAGACCGGGGGCUCUCAGGGUGGGAGAACACCCCAGCUCACAGGGGGCACCCAGCAAAGCUGGCUGGGAGAUGGGAGGAGCUCAGGUCAGCCUGUGGCAGCGGGGGAGGCGCUGAGUGGGGACGUUGUCCCGAAGGCAGUAGGGUGCCCUGGAAAAACCAUGCGGUGGGUCUGACCGUGUCCCCUCCUGGCCCCCAGGCAGCCCAGGCACAGCCUCCUCCCAGGCUCAGGCCCUGCCUCUGGCCCAUGAGGGUAACGGGGCAGGGCAGGGGC